GGUAAUCACGACUGACAUCAGGAAGCAAGCUUAAGAUCCAUUGAGACAAUUGCUAUCAACAACACCACUAGGCCACCAAGUAACUAACCAUUAUCAAGCUUUCACGGCAGUUACUUGGCGGUGCUGUUAUGCAUUCGCCAGAUCUACAGUAUAUAAUUCUCUCUCUCAAGAGAGAAAGAGAAUUACAAUGUUGCUAUAAUUCUGAACUAAAACGGGUAUAGCAAUAAGAGGCCACUGCUAUAGCCGUCCGACAGACCAGUAACCAGCCACUGGUAGUAUUUAAUACUUCCCUGAUGCAGACGUACCGUUGGCCGAGGCCAGCGGUGCUGUGCAUUCAAGAUUUUGCCACUCAAAGCGUUCGCAAUUCGUGGUAAAUAACGGAGCUAGCUCCGCUUUUCAUCGAUUAAGGAAGCAACCGAUCAAUCCCUAAAGGUAGUCAAGGAUCGUUAUAUUUAAUAAAAAAUAUAAACGGUCAACGCAAAAAAUAAACUUUAAAUUGGUUAUAGAUAUAGCCGCUAGUCACAAAGGACUAGUCAUUAAGACUUACCUUCAUCAAAUGUGAAAGCUCAUAUAGCCAGCCAUAUUCUAUAGGUGCGAGGUGAAACAUCCAGCAGUUUCGUUACUUCCCUAGAUUUGCGACAAUCAUCAGCAAGUCCUUUUGCUAGCUCUAAUCAAAUAGAUACGGUCCAACCAGGCCGCCUAGCAAAACCUUUGGGAAACCUCGCGGUUGUACAUGCUAAGGUUGAUCCUGUCGCAGAAAUAAAGAACAAGCUCUAUUUCUAUUCAGGCCACGACUGGAUCAAAUCAAAGCUAGAAUCCAUAGUGGAAUCAGCGAUGAU
rnacentral:rRNA from 1 species